GAGCAGGUGAUGAAAGAGAUUACUUUGUAACUGAUUAUGUUCGAUGAAGCAUCAAUUAUCGAGCUUUUUAAAACUGAUGCUCA